rnacentral:rRNA from 1 species
CCCUUCGGGGUGGAUUAGUGGCGAACGGGUGAGUAACACGUGGGCAAUCUGCCCUUCACUCUGGGACAAGCCCUGGAAACGGGGUCUAAUACCGGAUACGACGCGCUCGGGCAUCCGAUGUGCGUGGAAAGCUCCGGCGGUGAAGGAUGAGCCCGCGGCCUAUCAGCUUGUUGGUGAGGUAACGGCUCACCAAGGCGACGACGGGUAGCCGGCCUGAGAGGGCGACCGGCCACACUGGGACUGAGACACGGCCCAGACUCCUACGGGAGGCAGCAGUGGGGAAUAUUGCACAAUGGGCGAAAGCCUGAUGCAGCGACGCCGCGUGAGGGAUGACGGCCUUCGGGUUGUAAACCUCUUUCAGCAGGGAAGAAGCGAAAGUGACGGUACCUGCAGAAGAAGCGCCGGCUAACUACGUGCCAGCAGCCGCGGUAAUACGUAGGGCGCGAGCGUUGUCCGGAAUUAUUGGGCGUAAAGAGCUCGUAGGCGGUCUGUCGCGUCGGAUGUGAAAGCCCGGGGCUUAACCCCGGGUCUGCAUUCGAUACGGGCAGACUAGAGUGUGGUAGGGGAGAUCGGAAUUCCUGGUGUAGCGGUGAAAUGCGCAGAUAUCAGGAGGAACACCGGUGGCGAAGGCGGAUCUCUGGGCCAUUACUGACGCUGAGGAGCGAAAGCGUGGGGAGCGAACAGGAUUAGAUACCCUGGUAGUCCACGCCGUAAACGGU